GCCGGGGUGGCGAAAUUGGUAGACGCACUACCUUGAGGUGGUAGCGCCCGAAAGGGCGUGCAGGUUCGAGUCCUGUCCCCGGCA
rnacentral:tRNA from 1 species